GCAGCCCCUGGACCAAUUAGGGUGACCAGAGAGCAAGUGUGAAAAAUUGGGAUGGGGUAGGGGAGAAUAGGAGCCUAUGUAAAACAAAGCCCCAAAUAGCAGGACUGACCCUAUAACUUGGGACAUCUGGUCA